AACGAACGCUGUCGGCAUGCCUAACACAUGCAAGUCGAACGAGACCUUCGGGUCUAGUGGCGCACGGGUGCGUAACGCGUGGGAACCUGCCCUUAGGUUCGGAAUAACUCCCCGAAAGGGGUGCUAAUACCGGAUAAUGUCUUCGGACCAAAGAUUUAUCGCCUUUGGAUGGGCCCGCGUUGGAUUAGCUAGUUGGUAGGGUAAAAGCCUACCAAGGCGACGAUCCAUAGCUGGUCUGAGAGGAUGAUCAGCCACACUGGGACUGAGACACGGCCCAGACUCCUACGGGAGGCAGCAGUGGGGAAUAUUGGACAAUGGGCGAAAGCCUGAUCCAGCAAUGCCGCGUGAGUGAUGAAGGCCUUAGGGUUGUAAAGCUCUUUUACCCGGGAUGAUAAUGACAGUACCGGGAGAAUAAGCGCCGGCUAACUCCGUG
rnacentral:rRNA from 1 species